rnacentral:lncRNA from 1 species
CAAAUUUUGGCAUUCAACGAAUCGAUUGAGAAAAUUCAACAAAUUUAGGGCAUUAAUGGGUAUAGAAAUUCAAUAAAUUCCAGCAACAAAUCUAGAAAAUUCCAAACCAAAUUGAGGAUAUUCUCCUGCCGCAUCACUCCAUCCACCGCUACCAAGCUCCUCACCAGUGCGAGAAGCGCCAGCUUCGCCAUGAAGCUACUCACGCAGGUAGAGC